UACGAAGGGAGCUAGCGUUGUUCGGAAUCACUGGGCGUAAAGCGCACGUAGGCGGAUGUGUCAGUCAGAGGUGAAAUCCCGGAGCUCAACUUCGGAACUGCCUUUGAUACAGCACGUCUUGAGUCCGAUAGAGGUGGGUGGAAUUCCUAGUGUAGAGGUGAAAUUCGUAGAUAUUAGGAAGGACACCGGUGGCGAAGGCGGCCCACUGGAUCGGUACUGACGCUGAGGUGCGAAAGCGUGGGGAGCAAACAGG
rnacentral:rRNA from 1 species